rnacentral:rRNA from 1 species
GAGAGUAAUUAGACCAGCACUAAUGCACCGGAUCCCAUCAGAACUCCGAAGUUAAGCGUGCUUGGGCGAGAGUAGUACUAGGAUGGGUGACCCCUGGGAAGUCCUCGUGUUGCACCCC